rnacentral:misc_RNA from 1 species
AACGCACAUUGCGCCCCUUGGUAUUCCGAGGGGCAUGCCUGUUCGAGCGUCAUUUCAAACCCUCAAGCUUCUGCUUGGUGUUGGGCUCUCGUCCGUCACAGGACGUGCCCGAAACUCGUAGGCGGUGGCGCCCAGCUCCUCAGCGUAGUUAUACAUUCCGCUCCGGAUCGUUGGGUGUUGCUCGCCUCACAACCACUAUUCUUUCUAUGGUUUGACCUCGGAUCAGGUAGGGAUACCCGCUGAACUUAA